ensembl:lncRNA
UCAUCUUAUUUUAUAAAAUCAAAAAAAAAUCAAAAAAAAUUACCAAUUAUAUUCUACAUUAAUCAAAGUAUAUAUUUUUAUAAAAACAUUUUUCUAAACGUACAUAAUUUAUAUUUUCUUUUAUUUCAAAAAAAAAAAAAAAAAAAAACAUUCAGUUUAAGAAUCAUGUGGAAAUUAUACUACCAAUUUAAAAUGAAUUUCAGACGGCUUAUAUCAGAGCGUGAAAAUGUAAGAACAAAUAAAAGUAAUUAUUUGGGUGAUUGCGACCUGAAUGGAUGCGAAUCAGAUAAAAGCAUAAUAAAUAAUAAAAAAAAACAAAUUGAUGAGCAAACAAGUACUUAUUGUUAUAACACCUUUACAUAUUCAAAUGAUUGUAAUGUUAAAACUAAUAUUAUGAAUAUUUAUUUAAGUGAUUUGAUAGUUAAGCAGUUUGCAACAGAUGAAAUAGACAUUAUUCAAGUAGUAAAACAUCUAGAUUCGGAUUCAACCAAUAUACCUAUGUACGUGUUUAACAAAAUUAUUUUUUUCAUUUUACGUGCAAACAACCCAUAUACGAGUGAACGCGUAUCAAGUGGGACCACAAGAAGUGAAGGGCUCUUGGAUAGUUCGGACGGCACUAACUCGGAAACCAUUAGUUCAGGCUCCAUUAUUUCAGAUGAAAUUAAAUCCGAUGCAUGCUUAAGUGCGGACUCUAGUACUAGCUUAAGUGCGGACUCUAGUACUAGCUUAAGUGCGAACUCUAGUACUAGCUUAAGUGUGAACUCGACUGCACAUUCUAACGUAAAAUUUGACGCACGCCCUAACGCACUACUCACCAUUUAUAAAAAAACUAUCAGUUACUACAAAAAAAUACUAAAAGAGUUGCUAAUUAAAGACAAAACCAGCUCGACAAAUGUUACAUCAUUUUCCUAUACAUUAAAAAUAAUUAUUUUGCUUCUUAUAACAAAUCCUAGAGAUAGCAAAAUUUGUAAAAAAAUAUAUAAAAAUAAAUAUUUUUUUUUGUGUCAUAUAUACUCUUUUUUUUUUUACAAUGACGAAACUAUUAAAGCUUUGGCCAUAAGUUUAAGUUUUUAUUUAAUUUUUGAUCAAAAUAUAUUAUUAUUAGACAAAUACAGAUUAUUUUUAGAACCUCAAUUGUUGGUGCUGUUUAAACAACAAUAUAAAAAAAAGCAUCAAAUGAAAAAAAUUUCUGUAAAUGCUGGAGGUACUGAUGCUACCACAACUAGUGCUUCCAUAUUUUUUUUACCAUUGCAUAACAAACGACAAACAUCAAAUUAUUUGUAUCAUCCAAUGGAACAAUUUAAAAAUUAUACAGUUGGCCAAAUAAAUAUAAAUCAUAUAAAAGAAUUUCACAUGCAUGAUGGACACAAAAGUACAACUUUUUCUUUGUGUAAUAAAAACAAUUUAUCUACAAUUAAUUUAAUAAAUUUAAAUAAUUAUCAAUUUGAUUUUUUUAAUUUAGAUAAAAAUAAACACCAAAGCGAAGACAAAAAAGCAAAUAAUGUUAAAGAUAAAAAAAAAACAAUAAUCAAUAGCAAAAAUACAAAUUUUAAUGAUUUAAAUAAAAUCUCUUUUUAUAUACAAAAUAAAAUUAUUUAUUUUAUACCUUUUUGGUUAUAUCAAAAAUUAAAGCUUAAUAAUUUUUUAGUGCAUAUUAAAAAAUUUAAAUCUUUUUUUUUUUUUUCAAACAAGUAUUCUUAUCUUCACAAAUUUUAUAGUGCAAAAUUAAAUAGUAAAGAAAAACAGAUGUGCUAUCAUGGAAAUUACAGUAAUGGAAACAUAUUUAGGUCUUUCUUUCUCUUUAUGUAUAAAUAUUACACGUUUUUUCAAAGAUGUCGAGAUGGCAAUUUUCCAUUGCCAAUUCGUGAUGAAAAGUUUUUUGGUGCAAAUCGGCUAAGUCAAAAUGGACUCAAUAAAUUUAAAUCAAGUCAGAAUCAGCAUUUACCACAACAGAAUGACAAAUCCUUUUUACAAAAUACAAAAAAUGAACUAAACGGGCUGAACCAAUCGAACGAAUCGGAUGAAACGGAUGAAACGGAUGAAACGGAUGAAACGGACGAAAACACAACCGCCAACACAACCGCCAACACAACCGCCAACACAACCGCCAACACAACCGCCAACAUAACCGCCAACACAACCGCCAACACAACCGCCAACAUAACCGCCAACAUAACCGCCAACAUAACCGCCAACAUAACCGCCAACACAACCACCAACACAAUCACCAACACAAUCGCCAACGACAAUGCUGACCUUUUCAUAAACUUAAAUGUACAAAACAAUUAUGUACAAAAAAAAAUUUCCGAUUUUAUUUCUAAUUUGUUAUCAGAACUGAAAAUGGUGCCACCUAUAAGCGAGUCAACAGAUAAUGAUAUUAACUAUACUUACAUUUAUAAUUUAAAUCGUUUGUAUUUUUUUUUAAAUAAUUUUUAUAUGCAGUUCUGGUAUAGAAAUGAAUGCGGUAAACAAACUAGUUACACACAAAAAACAUGUACAAACAUUAAUGAAUGCACCAACACAACAUCUUAUAAUAGAAACACAAAUAAACACUUCUAUAAUUUAUUUGAUAACGAUUACUACCAAAUAAUUACGAUAAUAAAUUUCGUUUAUGACAAUGUUUUUCCAUAUAUUAAGAAAGUUUCAUUUUGGAUGUACACAUAUUUAAAAAGUGCAAAUCCUUUUACAAAUCAUAAUAACAGCAAUAACAUCGGUGAUAUUAAUGACAAUG